CUGAGGCGUGACGACGAGGCACUACGGUGCUGAAGCAACAAAUGCCCUGCUUCCAGGAAAAGCCUCUAAGCAUCAGGUAACAUCAAAUCGUACCCCAAACCGACACAGGUGGUCAGGUAGAGAAUACCAAGGCGCUUGAGAGAACUCGGGUGAAGGAACUAGGCAAAAUGGUGCCGUAACUUCGGGAGAAGGCACGCUGACAUGUAGGUGAAGUGAUUUACUCAUGGAGCUGAAGUCAGUCGAAGAUACCAGCUGGCUGCAACUGUUUAUUAAAAACACAGCACUGUGCAAACACGAAAGUGGACGUAUACGGUGUGACGCCUGCCCGGUGCCGGAAGGUUAAUUGAUGGGGUCAGCGCAAGCGAAGCUCCUGAUCGAAGCCCCGGUAAACGGCGGCCGUAACUAUAACGGUCCUAAGGUAGCGAAAUUCCUUGUCGGGUAAGUUCCGACCUGCACGAAUGGCGUAAUGAUGGCCAGGCUGUCUCCACCCGAGACUCAGUGAAAUUGAACUCGCUGUGAAGAUGCAGUGUACCCGCGGCAAGACGGAAAGACCCCGUGAACCUUUACUAUAGCUUGACACUGAACAUUGAGCCUUGAUGUGUAGGAUAGGUGGGAGGCUUUGAAGUGUGGACGCCAGUCUGCAUGGAGCCGACCUUGAAAUACCACCCUUUAAUGUUUGAUGUUCUAACGUGGACCCGUGAUCCGGGUUGCGGACAGUGUCUGGUGGGUAGUUUGACUGGGGCGGUCUCCUCCUAAAGAGUAACGGAGGAGCACGAAGGUUGGCUAAUCCUGGUCGGACAUCAGGAGGUUAGUGCAAUGGCAUAAGCCAGCUUGACUGCGAGCGUGACGGCGCGAGCAGGUGCGAAAGCAGGUCAUAGUGAUCCGGUGGUUCUGAAUGGAAGGGCCAUCGCUCAACGGAUAAAAGGUACUCCGGGGAUAACAGGCUGAUACCGCCCAAGAGUUCAUAUCGACGGCGGUGUUUGGCACCUCGAUGUCGGCUCAUCACAUCCUGGGGCUGAAGUAGGUCCCAAGGGUAUGGCUGUUCGCCAUUUAAAGUGGUACGCGAGCUGGGUUUAGAACGUCGUGAGACAGUUCGGUCCCUAUCUGCCGUGGGCGCUGGAGAACUGAGGGGGGCUGCUCCUAGUACGAGAGGACCGGAGUGGACGCAUCACUGGUGUUCGGGUUGUCAUGCCAAUGGCACUGCCCGGUAGCUAAAUGCGGAAGAGAUAAGUGCUGAAAGCAUCUAAGCACGAAACUUGCCCCGAGAUGAGUUCUCCCUGAGACUUUAGGUCUCCUGAAGGAACGUUGAAGACGACGACGUUGAUAGGCCGGGUGUGUAAGCGCAGCGAUGCGUUGAGCUAACCGGUACUAAUGAACCGUGAGGCUUAACC
rnacentral:rRNA from 1 species